rnacentral:rRNA from 1 species
AACGAACGCUGGCGGCAGGCCUAACACAUGCAAGUCGAGCGAGACCUUUGGGUCUAGCGGCGGACGGGUGAGUAACGCGUGGGAAUAUGCCCUUUGGUACGGAAUAGCCUCGGGAAACUGAGAGUAAUACCGUAUGUGCCCUUCGGGGGAAAGAUUUAUCGCCAAAGGAUUAGCCCGCGUUGGAUUAGGUAGUUGGUAGGGUAAUGGCCUACCAAGCCUACGAUCCAUAGCUGGUUUGAGAGGAUGAUCAGCCACACUGGGACUGAGACACGGCCCAGACUCCUACGGGAGGCAGCAGUGGGGAAUCUUAGACAAUGGGGGCAACCCUGAUCUAGCCAUGCCGCGUGAGUGAUGAAGGCCUUAGGGUUGUAAAGCUCUUUCAGCUGGGAAGAUAAUGACGUUACCAGCAAAAGAAGCCCCGGCUAACUCCGUGCCAGCAGCCGCCGCUGUAA